rnacentral:tRNA from 1 species
GCCGGGGUGGCGGAAUCCGGUAACGCGCCGGUCUUGAAAACCGGUUUCCCUCGGGAAUUUUGGGUUCAAAUCCCAACCCCGGCG